rnacentral:rRNA from 1 species
UACGGAAGGCAGCAGUGGGGAAGUAUUGCACAAUGGGCGCAAGCCUGAUGCAGCCAUGCCGCGUGUAUGAAGAAGGCCCUUCGGGUUGUAAAGUACUUUUCAGUCGUGAGGAAGGUGUUAAGGUUAAUAACCUUAGCAAUUGACGUUAGCGACAGAAGAAGCACCGGCUAACUCCGUGCCAGCAGCCGCGGUAAUACGGAGGGUGCGAGCGUUAAUCGGAAUUACUGGGCGUAAAGGGCACGCAGGCGGUUAACUUAAGUUGGAUGUGAAAUCCCCGGGCUUAACCUGGGAAUGGCAUUCAAGACUGGUUAGCUAGGAGUCUUGUAGAGGGGGUAGAAUUCCAUGUGUAGCGGUGAAAUGCGUAGAGAUGUGGAGGAAUACCGGUGGCGAAGGCGGCCCCUGGACAAAGGGCCUGACGCGUCAUGUGGCG